UUUCGCCAUCAUACUUGUUCACACAGAAGAAUACAGUUAUUUUCUAUUUAAUCUUAGAGCUGUCAGCAAGAUCUGGGCUGGCUUCUUUGUGUCUGAAAGUUAAUGGGCUGACUUUUACAGAGAAAUGCCAGCAGUUCCACAUCAGUGCCAGUAAGUUCAAGAUUUCUGUGCAUGUAGAAGUGACGUGGGACAUCGUGGUCACUGGGAAAUAACUUUUGCAGUGAUUCUUUUGCUGCAGCACAAUGCUCAAACAUAGACACUCUGGAAUUCCUGGCAAGCUGUUUACCUGCGAUUUUCCUACCAUGUUCCAAUGCUGGACUGCUCCACUGGCAGUCAAAUGUUGUGGAUAUUCUACUGACCCUGAGGAAUCUUGUCGAACAACCUGUGCCAGGCAGAGAAGGAAUAUUUGAGAAAGAUUACGGAACCGUGAGUGGACUGCAAACUGUGAAGAAACCUACAUGACUCCCAUUCUUGACUGAAGCUGCUACAGUGGUGUUUUUUAACUGGGAGCAUUCAUGGAAGUAUCAAGCAGUUUGGCGUACACUGCUGUGGGUUGCCGGAACAAGCAUGGAAAGAGGCACUCUGCCUCCGCUGAGCUGAAUUAGAGACUGAAGAAGCAAUGAUAUCCAUGCAAAGAGAGGAUUAGAGAAUUUGCAGUUUGACAAUCUACUUUUUGCUUGAAAAAUAUUUCAUAGGCUGGUCCGUCAAUGCAACAGAGCUGAAUCCAUGGCUGACUUCUGUAACAGAAUCCCCAACAAAAGUGUUUAAAGUACUUUGAAUGUUAGGAUCAUGUGUUAGCUGCGCUGGAAAAUCCUGAUAUGUCUGUCAAUGUAAGACCUCAGUUCAACUGCAUAGCAUGUAAAAAUUAUGUGAAUCAGUUUCUGUGAGAUAAGAUAAGAUUUCUUUAUUAGUCACAUGUACAUUGAAACACACAGUGAAAUACAUCUUUUGCAUAGAGUGUUCUGGGGGCAGCCCGCAAAUGUCACCACGCUCAGGCACCAACAUAGCACGCCCACAGCUUCCUAACCCGUACGUCUUUGGAAUGUGGGAGGAAACCGGAGCACCCGGAGGAAACCCACGCAGACACGGGGAGAACAUACAAACUCCUUACAGACAAUGGCGGGAAUUGUGCUGGUGCUGUAAUAGCAUUACGCUAACCGUUACACUACCGUGCCUGCCUGAACAAUUACACUUCUAUGUUGACAGUAUGUUGGAAGUGUGCAACAAAAAUAGGGAUUGCUGGAACUAUUUUGUAGCUCAGUCAGUUUUAACAUUAGUAGGCAAAACAACACAUCUGAUUUUCUCAUUGUCCCUCCAUCGGUCACAAGUCCUAACAUAGGUCACUCUGAUGCCCCUUCCAGACCAAAACAAAAUCAUUACCAGCAUGUAAAACUUCAAGCAAUACCGUCUGUGUAGCUGAUUCUUUCCAUCCAGAUUUCCUUAGCACCAAUGGCAACUACUUGAAAUGCCGUUCACCUCGGACAGAUUGGCUGUAAACUGGACUUCUUGAGCUCCUGAAUGGUUGGCUGGGUCCUGAAAUUUAAUCUAUUGAAGUAGGCAUAAGACAGAAUAUAGAACAGAGAACAGUACAGCACAGGAACAGGCCCUUCAGCCCACAAUGUUGUGUCGAACCAAUUACAUUAGUAAUAAGAUGCCCAACUAAACUAAUCCGUUCUGCCUACACAAUGUCCAUACCCAACCAUUUCCCUCACAUUCAUGUGCCUUUCUAGGAGCUUCUUGAAUGCCCCUAUUGUAUUUGCGUCCACCACCAAAGGUGCUAAAGGUAGUCUGUACCAGCCCAUCAAAGUCCAGAGAGAAAUUUGACUCUGUCCCAGACUCAUUGCUUGGAAACAGAUGACAAUGGUAGACUAGUAAUAAUACAACUAAUAUUUUGUCUCAGUUUUGACAGAGGAAGCUGCUGACUGUGAGAUUGUAAACAUGUCAGAGGACAUUGUGGAAUUGUCAGUUUUGAAAUUAAUACUCAUAAUUCAAACAGAGAUAAUACAACUAAAUGUAAUUUUUAACAGAAGUAAUACAGUAUGGCUUUCAGAAUACUGAGAAUUUGAGAGAUGAUAAAAGGACUUAUCAUUUUUUGAAAAAAUAUUUGGACACAUGGAAAGUGCUAAAACGCAGGUCGAUGGCCAAACUGUACAUUAUGUUUCAAGAAAGGAAAAAAGCAAAAGAUAGGAAAUUAUAAGCCAUUAGUUUAGUCUUAUUUUAGUUACGGGCAAACACUUAGACAGGGAUUCCCUAUUAGUAUAGAUAGUGAACUAUCAUUUAGUCUGAUACACAUACAUAAGACAGUGUGCUGUAAAUCUAUUAGCUGCUAAAGGAAGUGCUACUUUAAGACUGGUGGGUUGCCUCUGUCUUUAGGAUUCUGUGUCACAUGAUUAUCUUUUGUAGCA